rnacentral:rRNA from 1 species
CCUACGGGAGGCUGCAGUGGGGAAUAUUGCACAAUGGGCGCAAGCCUGAUGCAGCCAUGCCGCGUGUGUGAAGAAGGCCUUCGGGUUGUAAAGCACUUUCAGCGGGGAGGAAGGCGGUGAGGUUAAUAACCUCAUCGAUUGACGUUACCCGCAGAAGAAGCACCGGCUAACUCCGUGCCAGCAGCCGCGGUAAUACGGAGGGUGCAAGCGUUAAUCGGAAUUACUGGGCGUAAAGCGCACGCAGGCGGUCUGUCAAGUCGGAUGUGAAAUCCCCGGGCUCAACCUGGGAACUGCAUUCGAAACUGGCAGGCUAGAGUCUUGUAGAGGGGGGUAGAAUUCCAGGUGUAGCGGUGAAAUGCGUAGAGAUCUGGAGGAAUACUGGUGGCGAAGGCGGCCCCCUGGACAAAGACUGACGCUCAGGUGCGAAAGCGUGGGGAGCAAACAGGAUUAGAUACCCUAGUAGUC